UGGGUUGGCUCAGUGGUUAGAGCUUAAUAAGUCUCGUAACCGAAAGUUCGCGGGAUCGAAUCCCGCUAGAAGCUAA
rnacentral:tRNA from 1 species